rnacentral:rRNA from 1 species
UACGUAGGGUGCAAGUCCGGAAUUAUUGGGCGUAAAGAGCUCGUAGGCGGUUUGUCGCGUCUGCUGUGAAAACUCGGGGCUUAACUCCGGGCCUGCAGUGGGUACGGGCAGACUAGAGUGCGGUAGGGGAGACUGGAAUUCCUGGUGUAGCGGUGAAAUGCGCAGAUAUCAGGAGGAACACCGGUGGCGAAGGCGGGUCUCUGGGCCGUAACUGACGCUGAGGAGCGAAAGCGUGGGGAGCGAACAGG